AGGAGACAGUGAUUGUUUAGCUGUGGGUAAGGCACAAACUCUGGCAUGUGAUGGAGUCUCUCUCUGUUGCCCAGGCUGGAGUGCAGUGGUGUGAUCUUGGUUCACUGCAACCUCUGACCCAGGUUCAAGCAAUUCUGCUGCCUCAGCUUCCUGAGUAGCUGGGACUACAGAAGGAGUCUCUGAAGUUAGCACCCUUCUAAGAAUCCAAACUCUACAAGCAGAGGUUACCAAGCACAGAGGCGUGGCACCCAAGAUCACACAGGUAACACACACGUGGAGCUCGGGGUUAAAGCCAGGCAGACUGAGACCCGAGGUCACCUCAUGUCACCAUAGGAGGCUCUGCCGAUUGCCCUGGGGGACACACACACCUGCGGCUGCUUCCAACAGCUGUGCCCAACCUCAGAGGAUGAAGACGAUUCACAUUUGAGGCUCUUCAGAAUAAUGUGCCUGGCUCUAAGGCAGCUUUCAAAGAGGACAUUCAGCCUGCUAUGGCUGUGAAGAUAUUCAACCCGAUGUCAUCCACUGUGAGGCAGAGGUUCUGGCAUUUUGAGGACAAAGCAGCCGGGAUUCUGUCACCUCGCUCUGCAUACACCAGCAUUUAAUGCAAGAUCAUAGAGUGAAACGAUUCCUGCGCCCAAAAGGGAUUUUAAAAACAGCUCGAGAAGCUGAAAGCAAGAUACAACAGACAGUUCCACUCAAUUUGCUGCCUUCAGCCCGGCUGCGUACUGGAAACAUUUGGUCCUGCUGAAGCAUGCUUGUCUGCCUCCGGGGUCAGGGCUGGGUGUUUCAGAAAUGGAAAUGCAAGCUUCUGGCAGCAGUCGCUUUUCCUG
ensembl:lncRNA novel transcript